GAUUGGUGCUGUCACGAUUAAAUUCCCGCAGGUGUUUGUUCGGAGGGGUUUGACAAUGUUGGGUUUGGAUCCCGGGCACUUUGGGACCCAUUCUUCCCGGAUGAUGGCGGUAACAGAGGCGCCCCGCCUGGUUUUAAGUGAGGACCUAGGGAAACGUUUAGGCAGGUGGGAGUCAGUACGGUUUAAGUCCUGUUUCAGGCCAGUCUAUUUGGUUUAAUGGCUAUGGACGUAUGGGUUUGUGUUUGGGGCUAUGCCUUGUCGCUAAUUACUUUCGUUUCAGGUUUGGUGACAUAGUUGGUGGGUCAUUCUUAUAUCUAAGGGGCACAGAUGGGAGCCGUGUUUCGGUUCAAACGCAUCUGGGCUUUCCUUUGGAAUUGGUGGAGCAGG